UUCCAGACUCCUACGGGAGGCAGCAGUGAGGAAUAUUGGUCAAUGGUCGGGAGACUGAACCAGCCAAGCCGCGUGAGGGAGGAAGGUACAGAGUAUCGUAAACCUCUUUUGUCAGGGAACAAAGGCGGGGACGUGUCCCCGGAUGAGUGUCCCUGAAGAAAAAGCAUCGGCUAACUCCGUGCCAGCAGCCGCGGUAAUACGGAGGAUGCGAGCGUUAUCCGGAUUUAUUGGGUUUAAAGGGUGCGCAGGCGGUUUGUUAGGUCGGCGGUAAACGCCGGGGGCCCACCCCGGGCGAGCCGUUGAAACUGGCUGUCUUGAGAUGUCGAGAGGUAUGCGGAAUGCGCAGUGUAGCGGUGAAAUGCUUAGAUAUUGCGCAGAACUCCGAUUGCGAAGGCAGCAUACCGGCGGCGAUCUGACGCUGAGGCACGAAAGCGUGGGUAUCGAACAGGAUUAGAUACCCGCGUA
rnacentral:rRNA from 1 species